CUGUUGCACAAGCACACAGCCUGAGCAGCAUCUGCUGAGAUGCGACUGGAGACCAGUGGCUCACCCCAGGGCUUUCGGGAAAUGAAAAAGAAUCUAGUAGAACCAAGAGUCUCAAGCCGAGUAAUCGCUAGCUAGGAUUCCGCGUGGAUUCCACUCUCUAUUUUACAGAUUGGACUCUCCAGUCUCAGGGUCGUGACCAAGCAAGCCUCCCGGAGUGACAAGCUGGGAAUCACCGCGCCGCAGUGACCAACAAGGGAAGUCUGACACCUUGAGGACGCGAGAGGGGGUGCCGGGACCCCCGGGAGCCGGAGAGGGAGAAGCUUUUUCGGUGCCAGCUGCGUGGGCUCCAGCUUCGUGCGUUUUCCUUGGAAUGCUCGGAAACUCGGCGAAGACUAAGGAGAUCCCGUCGGAAUUUGCCGGGCGUGCUGGCACCGGGCAAAGCACUCGCGCCGCCGGCCUCGACUCCAACCCCCUUCAGCCAGAAGAUCGCAACUUUGCAGAUGGAUAGAGGUCUGUCUCCUACACUAGGCAGUAAGCUCCUUUAAGAAACCCAG
ensembl:lncRNA